UUGAGCUUGAUCCCGGCUCAGAACGAACGCUGGCGGCAGGCUUAACACAUGCAAGUCGAGCGCCCCGCAAGGGGAGCGGCAGACGGGUGAGUAACGCGUGGGAAUCUACCCUUUUCUACGGAAUAACGCAUGGAAACGUGUGCUAAUACCGUAUGAGCCCUUCGGGGGAAAGAUUUAUCGGGAAAGGAUGAGCCCGCGUUGGAUUAGCUAGUUGGUGGGGUAAAGGCCUACCAAGGCGACGAUCCAUAGCUGGUCUGAGAGGAUGAUCAGCCACAUUGGGACUGAGACACGGCCCAAACUCCUACGGGAGGCAGCAGUGGGGAAUAUUGGACAAUGGGCGCAAGCCUGAUCCAGCCAUGCCGCGUGAGUGAUGAAGGCCCUAGGGUUGUAA
rnacentral:rRNA from 1 species